GUGAAUCAUCGAAUUUUUGAACGCAAAUUGCACUCUCUUCGGAGAGGAUGCCUGUUUGAGGGUCAGUAUUAAUAAAAAUCGGUGUGUUGCUUCUUUGGGAGGCGCCGGAGAGUGGGUCAUCUUAAUAUCCUUUAGGUUUUAAGAGGCUUAAAAUGGACUUGUUGUGCGCGGUUUAGAUGUACGGAAAUUCAUGUUUUUAUUCGUCUGUCUUAAUGCUCAAGAUCAUAGUAGAGGAGACCAUAUCGUGUGGUUUCGUGUCUAUAAAUUUUUCAUGAUUUGACCUCAAAUCAGGUAGGAGUAA
rnacentral:misc_RNA from 1 species